GCAACUCUCGCAUUUAAGUUCAUUUUAUUAGAUAUGCAAGGUUGAAACAAUUAGUAGUUGAAAUAUUAAGAAAUAAAUCAAUAGUAAUUCAUGUUUUGUUCAUUGGAUUUAUAUGUUUAAAUGUGUUAUUUUUACUAAUUGUGCAAUUAGAUAGGAACCUUUUCUAUAGUUCCGUCUGUUGUUGCUAAGAGGGUAUUUUUGGCUGGCACACUCAGCAAGCUAAUUGAGACGAGCCACGAGGUUUGCACGUCCACAGUAAGAUAGUAAAUAGUAAGAUAAAUAAAAGAGUGCCUUUUUUGGACCUCCCCACGAUGUAAGGAUUAAAGUUUUAUUCCCUUUGAGUGAGGCCAAUGAGGUAAAUGUUUUCUUUUGUUUAUUUUCGUUGUAUGUAAAUAUGCUAGUGUUGCGUGAUAUUCUAGUGCAAUUACCGCAGUGUGAGGUGUAAUGUGUAUUUUAUUGAUUGUUUUGUUGGAAUGUUUCGCCACAUAUAAUGCUUAGGGGCUUUAUUAAGAAUAUUCAUUUAAGUUUGUAUUUCUUUUUAGUUCUGACGGCAUUGUAUCGGCUGUGGUUGGACAUCAUUACAUGUUAAGGCAUGUCGAAGAAUCCUCCUGUCCGAAAUAAAUGUCAGUUAAAACACAAGGAACAAGUUGAGCUUUAUUACGACUCGAGGGGAGUAACAAGCCCUAUAAUUAUCUACUAGUCACAAACACACUGCAACAGUUUGAGUGUCUACCAACUACUGAACUUCCUUGUUCAAUAAUUUCUUUAGCAGGAAAAUGAGAGGGCUUCCCCCCAUCUAUGAGGGCAAGGUAUUCUGAAAUCUUCUGCUACCUGCUGCUGGUUAUUGUUGGUUUUACUUCCUUAUAUUCAAGCAUCAGAUGUUUAAGGAGCACUACCGUAAUGCCAAAACUCCCAAUGACUAGUAAACUGGAAGAAAGACAUAAUAUAAAUUUGGAUGACACACUUAAUUUUGGACACAGCUUUCUGAAGAACCAGGAAACUGACCCGGUGACAUUUACCGCAAGAGAUCAGCACAGAAAUACACAUCCUCAGAAGUUGCCUCGCAUUAUCUUAUUCUUUGAAAUUGACUUGUAGCACACACACCUCGUGACAUACACACACACACACACACACACAGCUUACACACAGACAGCAUCGGGACCUGCGUAACAGGAAAUGUGAUUAUAUUUGCAUAUUGACGAUGUAACCUAUAAAAAUAAACGAAUACUGC
ensembl:lncRNA